GAUGAACGCUGGCGGCGUGCCUAAUACAUGCAAGUCGAGCGAACAGACGAGGAUCUUGCCUCUCUGACGCUGGCGGCGGAUGGGUGAGGAACAGGUGGCUACCCGACAUAUGAGACUGAGGUAACUUAGGGAGACCUGAGCCAACAUAGGAUAAUAUGUUGAACGGGAUGGUUCUUUAGUGAAAACGCGAUUUGCUGUGACUAAUAGAUGGAUCCGGGUCGGAUUGGCUAGUUGGUAAGGUAACGGCUUACCAAGGCAACGAUGCGUAGCCGAUCUGAGAGGGUGAUCGGCCACACUGGAACUGAGACACGGUCCAGACUCCUACGGGAGGCAGCAGUAGGGAAUCUUGCGCAAUGGGCGAAAGCCUGACGGAGCAACGCCGCGUGUGUGAUGAAGGUCUUCGUAUCGUAAAGCUCUGUUAUUAGGGAAGAACAAAUGUGUGAGUAACUAUGCACGUCUUGACGGUACCUAAUCAGAAAGCCACGGCUAACUACGUG
rnacentral:rRNA from 1 species